CAUGAAUUUUUGACUCCUCUAUCAUGGCAUAUGGGGUGGCUUCCUUUUAUAUGGCAGACUAGGUCAUAAGACCUAGUCUAACAAGGAGUCCUUGGGGCGUCCAACUCUUAGACGCCCCCUAUCUCAUUUAUUUUAUAGAUAGCAUAAAAAUAACCAUAAAAAGGGCAACAAAAAGGAGGAUAAACAUGGGAGAAGUUGGUGCA
rnacentral:lncRNA from 1 species